CUUUAUAUGUAGCUUUUUUUUCCGUGCAAGUGGCCAAAAUAUUAGAUGAUUCUUUUUGUGUGAAUUAUUUUAAAUGUUACUAAAUGUUACAGAAUCUUGAUUUUGGUAAAUGUAGAAUUUUAAUGGCCAUUCUAUUGACUUCAUAAACUCAUAGUAAAUUCUGUUUUAGAUACUCAAGACGAACCUAUUGGAACUCAAAGCAGUCUUUGACAUAUGCCACAACUGUCUGAAAGUAUUGUCACCGAAAGCUAAUCAUACGAGAUGUUAUUAAGAAUCAACUACCUAGACUAACCUUGAUUGCAUAAUGCCAAGCGCCAGUUUUUGGUAUUUCAUGAAGAAUCGACAUUUGAAAUUUAAAGGAUUAGUCUGUUUUCUGAUCCUCGGAUACGGCCUACUGAAUAUUAAUAUAACUAUAAAAAACAUAUGCGCCUAGUAGCUGGGAAGAAAUUUAGAGGUUAAAGGGGGAAAUGCCACAGGAGGGAAUAUACGGCUAGAAUAACAAAACACAAGACAAAACAAACAAGUUUGGCACUAAAGCUUGGGUCAGCCAAGGAAAAGAAGGGUCUGUAACUGUGUUUCCCAUGUGUAUGAAAACUGCAUCAAUACUCAUUGAUCCGUGAUGUCCUUGUCUGCGUCAUCAAAUCAGGAUUACAAAAUGUGUACUUGACUUCUAUAAUUGAUUCCUUUCAAUGAAGCAAUUUAUUGCUUUCACAAUUUUGCAAUGGAAUGAGGCAACUUAAAUUAUUUUGAACAUUAGCCUUAGACUUUAUUGGGUAUAAAGCCCCAUUUAAUAGAAAUUGGACUAGAGGUAUUCUACAAACAACUAUGCUUCUUGCGAAAUUUUGCUAAUUUUUUACUUUCGCCGUGAUCUAUUUAUUCACAGCUUUUAUUCAUUUAAUCAUUUAUAAAUGUAUUAAUUAAAAUUUGACCGAAGUCUUCGAGUUUUUCAUUGGCCUUCCUUUAUUAUCAAAGAUGUUACUUUCUCAAGUGUUUGUUUGGUUUUUAUUGAGAUAUUUUAUAUGCUAUCUCCGUAUUAUCUUGAAACUUUGAACUCAGAAUAAGAUGUCUGUUGCUUCGCUGUACGUGAAGCUUGUUUCUGGGGUCCUUUAUAUCACAAUACCCGCUUGUUCGAUCAACAAUAAAGCGUUCGUUUCUCCUCACUUUCCAGUGGCGUCGGAAGCAAAUUGAAAGGGGGGGGGGGGGGCUAGACUAAUUAUCCAGAAAUCUUUUGUUUCCCAGAUCAGGAAAUUCCUACUAUGAUUCCAACUUUCAAUAUCACUAUUAAUAUUUCAAUCUUGAAAGGUAUAUUCAGGAGCAAUUUUGUUUGCUGCGAGAAAAAGUGGGGGGCUGAACCCUCUCCGAUGCUAUGUUCCUAAUGGUUAGGUUUAACUUUGCAAAAAUAUUGGGGGGGGGGGGGGGGGGUUGUUUAAUCCCCCCCGGUUCCGACGCCUUUGGUUUCUAUUCGGUAACUCAAGGAAUUAAAAUAUACAUGUAAAGUAAAUCUACCAAAUUUAGGUUAUGUUGAAAACUGAUGAAUUUAGAAAAUAUAUCCAGCUUUGAAAAGAAUUUUAAAAGCAAAACAUUGAAUGACCAUGCACAAUGUAAGAGACAAAAUAGUCCACCAUGUACUGUUUUCUUUGUUUAAAAUAUUGGUGCCUAAAUA